UCCCUCCAUGGCCUCUGCAUCAGCUCCCGCCUCCAGGUUCCUGCUGUGCUUGAGAUCCUGUCCUGACUUCGUGUAAUGAUGAAUUGUGAUGGGGAAAUGCAGGACUACACAAGACGCAAGUGGUAUUAUUCUCAGGCUCUGAAUGUGUGGAAUAAAGCAACACACAGUGAUCAAAAACUCUUGACAUUCAAUCCUUCCCAAGCAUUUUAACUGCUAAGAACCACAGUUUCCUCUCUGGAAGAGACUCACCUGCUGCCAUUGCGCACUGGAAGGACAGCUUUGGGCUGCACUGAGGCCAUAGGGGUUGCUGCAGAGCCAUCCACUCCUCAAACUCUCCUGACUAAGAAGGAGGUGAAGCAGAAGAUGGAGAGUCUGACUAAUCACCUAGAGGAAGUAGCCAGAGAAACAAAGGAGCUACGAGGUUGCCUCAUCUCCAUCACUGAAGGAUCCCCUCACAACAGGAGCAGCAGAGACUGGAGGGAAAUCUGCAGUUCCAGUGAAAGGAGAGGGAGCUGGUCCUCCAGAAAAAGGACUUAACAGCAAAGCUGCAGCACUAUUUGCUUGUCUCUCAGAUGAGGUAUGAGCCGGACUGGGAAUUGGAUUUGGAUUCAAGUCCAUCUUUUCUACCUUGGAUCUCUGCCUUUUGUGGGCUCUGCCUAUAGGCAAGGCUCCAGGAAACACCAGACAAAGAACAAUUCAGAAUAUUGUGUGGUCCAGUCAACAAGAACUUCCCUCCAGGAAGAAAUAUGGUUGAUAUUCAGUGAAUCUGCAGAAUUAUGUUCUCCUUGAUAUCUUUUGAGUUCUCUGGUAUGUCCCGAGCAGGCUUUCUUUGAGCUCAUAGAGCUCUGCCUGAUUCUGCCUCCCAAGUCAUGGCCAAUAGACAUGUGUCUAACCAUGCCUGAAGCUGUAGAAAUGAAAGUCCCACCCUUAGCCACUCUUUGAUAUAACACUGGCUGUCUUCUUUGUUUGACCAUUUCCCAUGUAAAGUGUUCUAGGGGUAUAAUAAAUUUAGUCACUUCCAGGAUGA